rnacentral:rRNA from 1 species
UGGGGAAUAUUGCACAAUGGGCGCAAGCCUGAUGCAGCCAUGCCGCGUGUGUGAAGAAGGCCUUCGGGUUGUAAAGCACUUUCAGCGAGGAGGAAGGUGGUGAACUUAAUACGUUCAUCAAUUGACGUUACUCGCAGAAGAAGCACCGGCUAACUCCGUGCCAGCAGCCGCGGUAAUACGGAGGGUGCAAGCGUUAAUCGGAAUUACUGGGCGUAAAGCGCACGCAGGCGGUUUGUUAAGUCAGAUGUGAAAUCCCCGGGCUCAACCUGGGAACUGCAUUUGAAACUGGCAAGCUAGAGUCUCGUAGAGGGGGUAGAAUUCCAGGUGUAGCGGUGAAAUGCGUAGAGAUCUGGAGGAAUACCGGUGGCGAAGGCGGCCCCCUGGACGAAGACUGACGCUCAGGUGCGAAAGCGUGGGGAGCAAACAGAUUAGAUACCCUGGUAGUCACGCCUGUAAACGAUGUCGAUUUUGGAGGGUUGUGCCCCUUGAGGCGUGGNUUCCGGAGCUAACGCGUUAAAUCGACCGCC